AAAAUUCUGAUACAUCAAUAAUAGUCGUACGAUACAGAAUUAUUUAGGGAAACAGUAAAGUAUAACCUUCACUUCGCAAUGCUUAAUAGCAUGUGAAGCCACGUAUCAAGAGUAAAAGAAUACAAUUUGUUUGUGUUUCUCGAACGAGGACUCGCAAACUACAAAAUGAUUUAGCCACGAUUAUGGUCGGAGGGGUGUGGGUUCGGCGAGCCCGGCACCGCGGCCACCCGCAAUCCGAGCAUCCUCCGGCCUUCCACGCUGCCGGCGCCCAUGGCGAGGAACACCGCAGCUGCAACCACUAGAGCGAGCACCAGCACUCUCAUCGCAUACAUACUGCUUCGGAUCGGUCUUCUUCUUCUUCUUCUCCCCCAUCCAUAAUUUGGAGCUGUG
rnacentral:lncRNA from 1 species